CACUAGAUGUGUUGUCAGAAUUCAAACCUUCUGGCCGAUCCAACAGCUCGAUAAAUGAAAGUGGUGCUUGAAGAAUACAGGAUUUGUGCAUGAAAUAGGUAAAUGAGUUUCUGAAAAAGAUUAUUGGAGUGUCUCCACCCCCAUCGUUCUGCCCGGACACUGAGGUCCAGCUCCGAGGGCCUUCUGGCGGUUCCCUCAUUGUGAGAAGUGAGGCUACAGGCAACCAGGCAGAGGGCCUUCUCGGUAGUGGCACCCGCCCUGUAGAACGCCCUCCUGUCAGAUGUCAAGGAAAUAAACUGACGCGCAGCGUAAAUUAAUAAUGCAGAGUUUUUAAUUGAAUAAAAUCUUUACUGAGUUAAAAUAAACUUCUUCAUAAACAACAUGGUUCCAAACAGUUUGACUGAGAUUACAUACUGACUCUGUUCACAACUGAGGCAGACUGACUCUGUUCACAACUGAAAUCUUACAGAGAGCACAAAGUGAAACUGGCUGCUAAGUCACAUGUCAGAGUGACUCAACACCUAGAAGUUAGCAGUUAGGCCUGAAUAACUUUAGUAGGCUGGGACGAUUGUGCAGUCCCAGCACUUCCCAGCUUGCUUUGCUGCUUCUGCUCUUAUAUGUCUUUGUCACAUGACAUAAACAUCUAUCUGACUUUGAGAAGACAUCUGAAGGCAAACCUGUUUAGGGAAGUUUUUAAUGUCUGAUGUUUUAUCGUGUUUUUAAUAUUAUGUUGGGAGCCGCCCAGAGAGGCUGGGGAAACCCAGCCAGAAGGGUGGGGUAUAAAUAUAUUAUUAUUAUUAUUAUUAUUAUUAUUAUUAUUAUUAAGCUCAGUAGCACUUGGGAAUGCUUUAUUUUUUUUUUUUUUAUAAAAUAUUUAUUGGUUUUACAACAAAAAAAUUUCCAAAAAAAAUACAAAAUUACAAAAGUUCAACAAACAAAAAACAACAAUAACCAUGACAAAAAACAAACAGAAAUAACAGUAUCCAUAACAAAAAGAGAAAAAGGAAAAAAGGAAAAAGAGACAAAGAAAUUCAAAGAAUAUUAUACUUUCAUUUAUCCUUCUUAUCUUUACCUGGUUCUUUGACUUCCCCGCACCUCCCCGCUUGUAUUUCCAUUUAAGAACUCCUUUCAGCAAAUCCUAACCCUCAGCACUUGGGAAUGCUUUAUCCUAACCCUUAUAUCUGUCAGUAACGUUGCAAAAAAGAUCCUUGUUUCCCCCCAACCCCCAGACGCUUUCCCGACCCCAAGAAUUUACAGUUCAGCAGCGUAUAAAUACACAUUAACUUGCAAAUGACGUGGCAUUUGGUGGUGUUUGCUCAAACUAAUUUAUUGCAACUAUUUGCCUGAUUUUUAUUUGAUUAGAAUCAUCACUGGGAAGAAGAAAAUGUUGAUGAGGAGGACUGCAUGAAAGCACCAACAGUCAUGUAUUCUGGUGUCCCACAACUUAUUUGCUCUCCAGUUUCCUUCCUGAGGAUGUUAAUUUGCUGAUUUGCCCUUUAUUUGACUUUCCUUUUCAUCCUGGUAGAAGAUGAGAGAUAACAGCAACAUCCAGAAAGGUCAAAAACACUGCCAAUAUUUAGAAACAUAUAUUUGGGAAAUAUGCAGAUAGUCAUUAUAUGUUAUGUAUACAUGUGCAUUCCUUUUAGAUCUAUGUCCAUCUAUAGUACAUGAAAGCCAGGGUGAUGUAUCGGUUACCGUGCAGGACUAGGACCAGGGAGACCUGGGUUCAAAUCCACUUUUCCAUGAAGCACACUGACUCACUUUGGUGCAGCCACACAGUCUAGCCCACUUCAUAGGGUUGUUUAAGGAUAACUGGGAUGGUGAAGUUAUGUCUUGCAUUUUGUUAACUCCUUUGAAAGUACUUGUGGUAAAGUGGGUAACAGAAAUUGCAUAAGAAGAAAUCAACACUAGUUAACAUACUGACUCCAAAUAAACUUGGAGAAGAUGCAUGAAGGAAUUGAAGCCUGAAAGGAAGUGAAAUUUUUUACCAAUAAGUAUUUACUAAAAAAGUAGGAAUCAGUAAGGAGGAAGAAUAGGCUGCCUUUACGUCUUCUGCCUUGUCUCCUUUUUAGGUAACAAUCGUUGUAGCUUUCCUCCAAAGUACACUGGGAAUUGCAUUUUGCCCCUCACAAAGCUAUAAUUCCCAACAGCCUUAACGAACUACAGUUCCCAGGAUAACAGGGCAGUCUGCUUUCCAGUGUCUCGAGGGUGGGGCAAGAUGAAGGUGGGGGGUAAAAGCUGCAUUCCUAAAGCCUCGAACCUCAAACAAUCCAGCCCCUCUAAUUAUUAUGAUUUUGAGAGGAAGGUCAAGCUGGGACGUUGAAAGAUGAAACAUCCGUUUUACACAUGUUUUUUACCUCUCAUUUACGAUGCAGUCCUACAUUAACUGUUACAUUCUGCUUGCCAUUCCUCUGGUACAACAGGAGAAACCAGUUCUUUAAACUUCUGCAAGGGACAAGUGGCUUCACAGCCCGGCAAAAUGAACUUUCAGCAGCCAGAAACACCAUAACCAGACACUGGAGAGAUCUGUCAGGAGUAAGCAUGGACCAAUGGUACCAAAUAGUAUGGGAAACAGCCCUACUAGAAAAAUUAACCAAUAAACUGAAACUAGCACAGGGACAAAUAGAAGAAGAUGCCUUCACCCCGGUAUGGCUCCCCUUUAUCACAUACACAGCCCAACAAGACAAUGACAAGAAUCCACCAACAGCAUACAAAUCAAUAUGGCUAACCUGAUCCAAAACACCCACCCACCCCACUCACACACGAAAACAAAGAUCACCACAGCCAAUCACAAACAAACAACCACACCUUAGGCCAACCCCAACCUCUCUCACCACCAAAGAAACACAAAUGAACAGCAGAGAACCUGCACAAGCAACGCUGACAUGAAACCCUACAUACAUUAAGCAAAAUAGAAACAUCGCCAUCCGACCCCCCCCAUCUUCCCGCCCUCCACACCUCCCCCCCCAAUGUCUCAACAAAUGAAACUGAUUUGUAAAAAUGUUACAUGGAAAAAAUACGAGACACAUUACCCAUAUUUCUGUAAAACAAGAAAAUCUUUAAUAAAAUAAUAAUAAUUUUUUAAAAAAGAUUUCAGGCAGGAUCUCUCCCAGUCCCACCAGGAGAUGCUGGGAACUGAACCUGAUGCCUUCUGCAUGCUAAGCAGUUGUUCUACCACUGAGCUAUGGCCCUAGCUCACAAUAUUGCUGUCAGGAUAAAAUGGAGAAGGUGGAGGCAGAAGUGUAUAUGCUCUGUGGGACAGAAGUAUAAGAAGGAAUAAAGUAUGUAAACUAGCCUAUAAGUGAAUAAAAUACAGUAUGUUUUUAACUUUUGACCAAACUGCGGGAGGCAGUGGAAGACAGAAGUGCCUGGCGUGCUCUGGUCCAUGGGGUCACGAAGAGUCAGACACGACUAAACAACUAAACAACAAGAACAAAUAUUUUUAACUUACUCUCCUAAUAAUUUGUAUAUAAAUUAUAAAAGUGGUAUAUAAAUUUGGUAAUUUUUUUUUUUAAAGAGGAAAUGUUCAGGCUUUCAAACAGUGUGUUAUGCCUGAGCCUUCAUUGCUGAAACUCCCAACAGCAUUUUCAUGCUCACAAACACCUGAUGAAGGCUUAAGGAACCAUUGUGACAUAACCCGUUCAAGCAGAGUGAAGGGGCAACAGGCUGUCAACAGUGGCAGUAGUUGAGAGCUCCCAGCUAUUGAAAAGCCAUAUAGAGUCUUUUCAUACUGCCUGAGGAAUUAAUUCCUUAUUUAACAUUCCUAAUUGCUGGAUCGAUUUAACAGGACUGGAGCUAACAUUUGCUUGGAUUUGGCCCCAUUGAUAGGGAACUGCCUGCUGCGUCCUCCGCUUUG